rnacentral:rRNA from 1 species
GAUGAACGCUAGCUACAGGCUUAACACAUGCAAGUCGAGGGGCAGCAUGAAGUCAGCUUGCUGACUUUGAUGGCGACCGGCGCACGGGUGCGUAACACGUAUCCAAUCUACCCAUGGCUCAGGGAUAGCCUUUCGAAAGAAAGAUUAAUACCUGAUGGUCUUACCUGGAGACAUCUCCUGGUAAGUAAAGAUUUAUCGGCGAUGGAUGAGGAUGCGUCUGAUUAGGUAGAUGGCGGGGUAACGGCCCACCAUGCCGACGAUCAGUAGGGGUUCUGAGAGGAAGGUCCCCCACAUUGGAACUGAGACACGGUCCAAACUCC